rnacentral:rRNA from 1 species
GCCUAACACAUGCAAGUCGAACGAGAUUUCUUUUUUGUUUUCAAAGAAGAAAUUGCAGUGGCGGACGGGUGAGGAACACGUAAGAACUUACCUUUUGGCGGGGGAUAACAACGGGAAACUGUUGCUAAUACCCCAUAAUGCUGAGGAGCGAAAGGGAAACUGCCAAGAGAGAGGCUUGCGUCUGAUUAGCUAGUUGGAGGAGGUAAAGGCUCCCCAAGGCGACGAUCAGUAGCUGGUCUGAGAGGAUGAUCAGCCACACUGGGACUGAGACACGGCCCAGACUCCUACGGGAGGCAGCAGUGGGGAAUUUUCCCCAAUGGGCGAAAGCCUGAUGGAGCAAUACCGCGUGAGGGAUGAAGGAUCGUGGUUCGUAAACCUCUGUUCUUAAGGAAGAAAUCAAUGACGGUACUUAAGGAAUAAGCACCGUCUAACUCCGUGCCAGCAGCCGCGGUAAUAC